rnacentral:rRNA from 1 species
GUGAGUGGCGAACUGGUGAGUAACACGUGGGAAACCUGCCCAGAAGCGGGGGAUAACACCUGGAAACAGAUGCUAAUACCGCAUAACAACUUGGACCGCAUGGUCCGAGUUUGAAAGAUGGCUUCGGCUAUCACUUUUGGAUGGUCCCGCGGCGUAUUAGCUAGAUGGUGAGGUAACGGCUCACCAUGGCAAUGAUACGUAGCCGACCUGAGAGGGUAAUCGGCCACAUUGGGACUGAGACACGGCCCAAACUCCUACGGGAGGCAGCAGUAGGGAAUCUUCCACAAUGGACGAAAGUCUGAUGGAGCAACGCCGCGUGAGUGAAGAAGGGUUUCGGCUCGUAAAACUCUGUUGUUAAAGAAGAACAUAUCUGAGAGUAACUGUUCAGGUAUUGACGGUAUUUAACCAGAAAGCCACGGCUAACUACGUGCCAGCAGCCGCGGUAAUACGUAGGUGGCAAGCGUUGUCCGGAUUUAUUGGGCGUAAAGCGAGCGCAGGCGGUUUUUUAAGUCUGAUGUGAAAGCCUUCGGCUCAACCGAAGAAGUGCAUCGGAAACUGGGAAACUUGAGUGCAGAAGAGGACAGUGGAACUCCAUGUGUAGCGGUGAAAUGCGUAGAUAUAUGGAAGAACACCAGUGGCGAAGGCGGCUGUCUGGUCUGUAACUGACGCUGAGGCUCGAAAGUAUGGGUAGCAAACAGGAUUAGAUACCCUGGUAGUCCAUACCGUAAACGAUGAAUGCUAAGUGUUGGAGGGUUUCCGCCCUUCAGUGCUGCAGCUAACGCAUUAAGCAUUCCGCCUGGGGAGUACGGCCGCAAGGCUGAAACUCAAAGGAAUUGACGGGGGCCCGCACAAGCGGUGGAGCAUGUGGUUUAAUUCGAAGCUACGCGAAGAACCUUACCAGGUCUUGACAUACUAUGCAAAUCUAAGAGAUUAGACGUUCCCUUCGGGGACAUGGAUACAGGUGGUGCAUGGUUGUCGUCAGCUCGUGUCGUGAGAUGUUGGGUUAAGUCCCGCAACGAGCGCAACCCUUAUUAUCAGUUGCCAGCAUUAAGUUGGGCACUCUGGUGAGACUGCCGGUGACAAACCGGAGGAAGGUGGGGAUGACGUCAAAUCAUCAUGCCCCUUAUGACCUGGGCUACACACGUGCUACAAUGGAUGGUACAACGAGUUGCGAACUCGCGAGAGUAAGCUAAUCUCUUAAAGCCAUUCUCAGUUCGGAUUGUAGGCUGCAACUCGCCUACAUGAAGUCGGAAUCGCUAGUAAUCGCGGAUCAGCAUGCCGCGGGUGGAAUACGUUCCCGGGGCCUUGUACACACCGCCCCGUCACACCAU